rnacentral:rRNA from 1 species
UCUUGGUGUUUAUUGCACAGUGGAACCACACCAAUCCAUCCCGAACUUGGUAGUGAAACGCUGUUGCGGUGACGAUAUUGCAGUGGAGACGCUGUGAGACAAUAACUCAAUGCCAAGA